UACCCGAAUCCUAACCACCCCAAAUGCCCGUGUUUCAAAGGCUUAGCCGCGUUAAUGCGCGGCCACGCGGCCGGCGAGUUCAAGUUGAUUCGAUUCUCAAAUACAAGCUUCCUGCUUGCCCUAGCCCACGUCGUCCUUCUGCGUCGCGUCGCACUCAUACGGCGCUCGACUCUCAUCUUUUCUCCCUUGAUCCGGUAAGCCGGCCGGCCAGACACCCAGAGUUUAACGACGGAUGGACGAUUCCUCUGGCUCUUCUCCGGCGGUAGCUAUUCUUGGACACAAAUGGAAUUAGGUACUGAUCAUCCAGUUCUUUUACUAUAAUAAAUGAAACAAAUGCAGUUAAUACAUGAUUUAAUAAUAAGGGUAAAAGUCAAAGCCACAUGUAACUAUUGUGAUGAAGAUCUAGUUACUUGAGCACCGAUGGUAUAAGCAACGUGUGGAAUUGUUUGAAGUUUCGAGCUACAUGUCCUUAUGAUGAGGUAGACAGAGAGCACAAGUUAUGAUAAUGAGUGAAUGAUUUAGGACAAUCACAUGUGGUGCAAAGGAGACCAGUCAGAAGAUCACAUUCAAAAGCAAAAAUAAUUAGUUAAAUGACCUUGUAACAAUGAAGUGAUGACAGGAUUUUAUUUAUCCAUGUGUUAAUGAUUAGCUUAGGUUUCCUUGUUCCAUUAUGUGGCCGUUUAAUUUUUGUAUUCACUAUUAAGGUUUUUUGUAUUUCAAAUUCAAAAUAUGGAGAUUGAAAAUCAUUCAAUUCAUGAUCAGUUCUUAAAAGAAUUCAAGUACAAAUUAGAGACUUCUAAGAUCUUUUCAAGUAUCAUCGAAAUGGCAGUUUAAUAAGCAUUCAAGAAGAAUUUUCAAAUUCUAAAUGAGAUGUUACAAGCCUAGCUUUCAAUUGGGUGGUUUAAAGAAUUCAAUUUGGGAGGUUACAAACAUGACUCAUGGCAUGAAUCAAGGAGGAAUUAAUACCAAUCUGAAAUUUUAUUUUAUGUGAUUUUAGUUUAUUGUUUUUGAAAAUUGAUUGUAUUUUUUUCUUUUAAUAUUGUAAUGAUGGAAUGAAAGUGAACUUUUGGAUUGUUGCUCAA